GACGAACGCUGGCGGCGUGCUUAACACAUGCCAGUCGAACGGAAAGGCCCUGCUUUUGUGGGGUGCUCGAGUGGCGAACGGGUGAGUAACACGUGAGUAACCUGCCCUUGACUUUGGGAUAACUUCAGGAAACUGGGGCUAAUACCGGAUAGGAGCUCCUGCUGCAUGGUGGUGGUUGGAAAGUUUCGGCGGUUGGGGAUGGACUCGCGGCUUAUCAGCUUGUUGGUGGGGUAGUGGCUUACCAAGGCUUUGACGGGUAGCCGGCCUGAGAGGGUGACCGGCCACAUUGGGACUGAGAUACGGCAGAGACUCCUACGGGAGGCAGAAGUGGGGAAUAUUGAACAAUGGGCGGAAGGCUGAUGCAGCAACGCCGCGUGCGGGAUGACGGCCUUAGGGUUGUAAACCGCUUUCGCCUGUGACGAAGCGUGAGUGAAGGGAAUGGGUAAAGAAGCACAGGCUAAAUAAGUG
rnacentral:rRNA from 1 species